UUGAAUGGUUGAGGACUGGAAUAGAUGGGCUGUAGGAUCUCUUGUGUUAUAGUUUUCUUACUCACAUCCUUGAUUCUUGGGCUGGGAUGAGUUAAAGACUGGGUUCAGCAGAGAUGGUCAACAAGAGCACCUACAUGUGACUUGGACUUCUCAGCAUGGGAGCUGGGUUCUGAGAGGGAGCACCCCAAGAAAGUAAGCAUGCCAAAAGAACUAGACAGAAGCUGCUUUGCGUUUUAUGACUUGGCUUCACUUUGCUCAAACGGCUGAGGUGGUCUCAAGCCCACCCAGAUUCAAGGAUCUUCACAUUUGAAAGGAGCAGACAAACAUCACCAGUAUGAUGGGACUGAAGCCCAAGAUUGGUAACCUGAUGGAUUUGCAGAAAGAACCAACAACUCCUACAGAUGAUGACAGUUCUCAUUCUAAAACUUCAAGGAAGAUGGAGAGCCAUGUAGCCCUGGCCAUCUACACCAUCAAGGACUCCAAUUACACCUGAGUGGUCACAUCUGCUUGCUGACUGUGCUAGUCAUUUCUUUCUGAGACUUCCAGGAGCCAUUCCAGGCAUUCUCUGUUUUCAAGCCCUCAAUGCAACUGGUAAAUGAUCUCAUAUCUUAAUAAGAACAUCUGACAUGUGAUACCUCAUCUUCACCUUAAUAACAACUUCCAGCUCCCAUCUCGGCACUCCCUCAGUACCCUGCCCAGAGAGCCAGCAUCAAAUUAUCGCAAAGGAGUUAAACAUCUAAAAGAAAGGAACUAAAACAGGUAAGUCUGAGUAGUCUGUGAUCUUAGAACAUAAACACAAGACACCUUUAAAACAUGUAAUCAUGCCUAUUUCCACAUGCCCCAGAGCUACCAACAUUUUAAAAUAUUGGAAGUAGAUGGCUGAUAAAAACAUACUUUUAGUAUUACAGAGGGCUUAGAAUGGUGGCAAUGUGAAAUGCAUCCAAAAAUUAAGGUUAUGAUUUAGAAAAUACCCAGUUAUUAGACAUAUGAAGUAGAUAAGUGAAAGAAACAUUUGAAAUCUUUGUUUUAUGUAGUAAUUAUGUUCCUGACGGGUCCUAUCAUAAUUAAAUGAGCAGCUUCUAUUUAUAAACGUGUUAGAAAGCCUUAAGAUAGAAAAUGCUCUGUUCUUUUAGAUUCAGAGUUUAGAAUUUGUAGUUUCACGUAUAUUAUGGGAUAUAUUAUGGGAAGCUUGGUAAUGUAUCCUUAAAGUAUUGGGAUCACUGACUCAGUUCCAAUGUAAUAGAAACAGACUCAAGUUUCCUUGCUCAAAGCUGCCUCAUACGGCUAUGCAGGCUGAAUAGAACUGAACUCUAGAGUCACCAUUCACACAGACGACAGUGCAAAGUAUGACGCCUAGAACUAUAUAAUGCUUGAAAUACAAUAAUCACAGUGAGAGGGUGCUCAAAUGCCUCUUGGGUGAAUACUGUGGUGUGAAAUUCAUAUUGGUAGUAAAUUCAGACUUACUUCCUAAUAUAAUUUGAAUAAUUCAAAGGAAGUCUUCUACUAAACAUUUUAUACCAGAAAUCAAGAAAUUGAGUAAUCAUUUAUUCCCAGAGAUUGAGAGAAUUUUCUAAAUUUCUCUUUCUUCUCUUUUAUCCUCUCCCUUAAAUGAACAUACUAAUCAUGCAGUAAAUUUGUUUAAAAAGCAAAUAAUCAUUUUGAAAUGUCAAUAAUGAUGUCCCAAGGUUCUAAUUUAUCUUUUUAAAGAGGAUUGUAUUUCAUAUUUUGAACUGGUUUUUAACAAGGCUAACAUUUUACUAUAUAAUCCUUUAUGCUUUAAAAGUAUUUGAUAUAAACUGUGUUAUGUGAUUGUUAUGACUAUGCCAUGAAAGAGGAAAUGAGCAUGAUCAUUCUAUGUUACAGACAAGAAAGUCAUUGCUCAGGAAAGUAACAGCCAUAUUCAAGGUCACCCAGAAAGUAAGGACAAUGCUAGGAUGACAAUUUGCUCUCCUCAUUUCUAUAUUUGCUACUUUCAGGCUAAUUAUUUACAUUUUUACCUUAAAUCAUAAAGUUUAAUGUAUCUAUUUAUCUAACAUAUCUAUGAUUUUUUUCUUUCUUUUUUUCCUGUUUGUUAGUGUACUAGUGAAAUUGGAAAUAUACCUAUUAAAUACUGAAGACAAGGAAAAUGUAUCCUGCUAGGUUGGAAAAAAUUUAAAAAUUAGUGAAAAAGAUAAAAACAUUAUGUACUGGAAGAUUAAUGAACUCACUCUCAGUGGUCCCAAGUUCAUUUUUCUCAUGCUAGAAAAGAUUCCUUAGAAUUAUGCAUAUAAAUUAUCAAAAAAAUCAAUAAAUCCAUUAAAUCUCCCUUCUCACACACAUCAUCAAUGGAUAACAAAAUUGGGUUGGUGAUAACUUUUACUUGUUAACAGGUUAUUCCAAUUAUUGGGUAGAGACAGGUUUUAUAAAUUCUGGAAAUCUUAAAACGUCUUGUCUCUCAACUCAGUGACUGAAGUGUAGCAAUAUGGGUUGAAUCAUUUUCUCAUCUUUAUUUCUGAUAUUGACUCCAAUAAGUUAAAAUUGCAAGUGUUGGUAAUAAGCAAUCUGGAGGAUUAGCCAAAGUACACUGUUUGCCUGUGUCAGAACCUGUUAGUCAGGCUCUGCAGGACUGACCUACAUUGCUUCUUAAUGCAUCUCUUUGUAGAAAGGUAAUUCUAAUAUUACCAUUGACCUACCUAUUACUUAACCUCAUUUAUUAAAUAUCUUCCGUGUGCAGGAUAUUUUACCAGAUAAAGAAAUUACGAAGAGUAAGCGCAUAGAGUAAAAACAGAAAGAUAUCUAUUUUAGAUGAACACUGAACUUUAUAUCACAGAAAUAAUCCACUAAUAUACGGUUCAAUAUGCAUUACUUGCUUUGAGAGCCAUAAGUACCUUUAGUAAAUAAAUGCAUUUAUUGUACAUUACAAUGAAAAAUGUGUUAAAUAACAAAUGAGUGAUUACUAAAAGCCUAUUUUAAACAUACAUAAGAACAACUAAUUUCAUGAAUGAAAGUGCAUAUCUGGUGGAUAUAUGUAAUCUUACAACAUUGGUUUCACUCAAGUUUUUAAGCAUUUUUAUAGCAUCUUUGUAUAUUAUGGGACAGCAUAAAUUAAAAAAAAUCUAUAUGUAACUGCCAUCUAUCUUAGAAAAAAGUAACAAAAAUUAAAAUUUACCACUUUUUGCUUAUGUGAAAGUGGUACAUUUGAAUUUUUAUUAUGUCAGUAAUGAAGAUUAUAUGUUGGCAUAUUGAAUCCUGUUUUAUCUCCAGGUUUUAUUCAUAAAUGUCUCACUGUUGGAACCUGCAUGAAUGAAUGCUGAAUCUCAAAAAUCAGACACAUUGGACUUGGAAUAAUGUCCACGUUCUGAUUCCAAUCUGUGCUUAAAUCUGAACCACUCAGUUCUUCAUGCUUGUUGGAAUCCUCCUAAGACUGGAAUUUCCUGGGAGAUAUCCAGUACUUUUUGGGCUGUAAACAGCAAAGCAAACAGCCUUUCUUGUAAUAUGCUAUGUCUAGUGCUAACUGAAUUCAAGAAGUUGAUGGGUGUGGGGAAAGUAACUUGAUUUCUUUGCAAACUUACAAAUUUGGUUCAGCUUAAAUUUUGACCAAAAAUUCAUCUCAGGAAUGAAUAUGUUUUGGAAUAAUCCUUUGCUAUUAGUUAUAAAUGUGGUAAAUAUUGUUUAAACAAUAAAAUAUUAUUUUAUACAGCAAAUUAUGGCAACAAAUUCCUUGUAGUGAUAUUUUUUAAAUCUUUAAAUCAUAGAUAAGGAUUUAUUAUGCUCCAUGUCAAUUAUAUGCAUGUUUGUGUGUAUGUGUGUGUAUAUGUGUGUGUAUAUAUAUUUCAUUUAAUCUCUGAGAACAGUCUGAAUUUUCAUGUUUCUCUAUUGUACACAACUGAAAAACUUAAGACAAAGAGAAAGAAAUAUCUUAUUAGUACAUUGGUAAACGUGCUUGAUGCCAAAUAUAGACACACAAAAUACAUUUAAUGAUUCUAUAAGAACUCUUAAACAUCUACAAGAAACAUCUUAUCAAAUUGAUUUCCCCCUUUGUCCUUAGUAAAAAAAUCCUAACGUUUUCAGGUUGACACAAUGCCACUCAGUUGACAUUUCCCAACCUCCUUUGCAUUUAAGUGUUGUCACAUGACUAGGUUAUGCCCAAAGACAAUUAAGUAAAAGUGUUGGGUAUAAUUUUUCUGGAAAGUCUCCUUAAAAAUAUGAGGGUUUUUCCUUGCCCUCUUUUUUUUCCUUGUUAUUUAGAGUAUGAGUAUUAUGUCUGUAGCUCCAGCAGCCAUCUUGGACCAGAAUAUGAUGGUCUGGAGAAUGUAAACCAUGUGCAGAAUGAUACUUAAAGACAAGGGACUGUGCACUUCAUUGAACCAUAAAGCUACCAUAGUUGCCUUGGAUACUCCCCUUGUGGACACCUUUUAUGUGCAAGAAAAAUAAACUAUCUUGUUUAAGCCACUGUUAUUUGUGGAAUUUUCAUUACAUGCAGUUGAACCAAGUCAUAAUGAAUUUAGGACUAUGAUUGGGUUGCUGCAAAACAGAACCUAAAAUAUGACUUUGGCUAAGUGAAGUGAGUGGAGAGGAAGAUGUUAAGAGGUGAAAAACUGUUAACCAUGUUAUGUGGUUGCAAAACAUUUAGUCAAGUUAUUGCCUGCUACGUCUUGAAGACUACAUGCUUCGUAAUGUAUAGUUGGACGAAUGAUAGGAAACGUUAGUGUAUUUUAAUUGUCUUUUGUUCUUUACAUCGAGAAAGCUAAGCUCAGACUAAGACAAAAGCCUCAGAAAUCCUAGAUGGGAAGGGGGGAUUCAGAGACGCUCAGUUUGCCUUCAGCCUACAAUCUAAGUAUGACAUAGAGGCCUGUAAUUUCAAGGCUAGUAGGAUUGACAAAACAAAACUACCCUCAUACACGCCACACUGAAUUACUUUCCUUUAAGAUUUCUCUACCAAAACCUGGGAUUCAGACAACUGACAAAAAUCGCAGUGAAAAUGUUGACUUCUACUCGUGUUUCAAGGGAUCUCCGAGUAAAUGCCAGUUAUUGGUGCCAAUGCCAGCAAGUUAAGGAUUGGAAUCUUCACGUUAGAAACUAUGUCUAAACAUGAUCUUCAUCUAUGGCUACUUUAACAUGCAAUUAAUUACACAUACUCACACGAAAUCCAGAAAACUUUUCUGAGUGGAUCAUGAUGGCAUCCACUAAGGUCCAAAAGUAGAAAGGAUACCAGGAUUCUCCAAAAAGAGAUACCAUCAAGGGAAAGAAAGGACUAGGUACUAGCUUUUACAGAGCUAGAUAAAUCAAAGAAAGGUUGGAACCUUAGUAAGCAUCCAUUUUGGAAUGGUAUGGUCCUUUGAGUAGCUACGGUUGAACAUGUGAGUGUAAACCAAGACGGCUGACAUAUUUGGUGGCAAGGCAGAGUAGAUUACUGUGGCCCAUGCAGGGUUUGUAAUCACUGUGGGAAUCACAGAUUCAUGAGUGUGUGCAAAGUCAGUUUUGUAUAUCUACACAUUGCAGCAGCAAAAAGCAUCAGCAAUAUCAGUCUAGUGUCUUCCAAUUUCUCUCUGCACUGGAAAUUUGGGGGAAAAAAAAGAAAAAAAAAGGGCCAGGCGCAGUGGC